rnacentral:rRNA from 1 species
AUUGAACGCUGGCGGCAGGCCUAACACAUGCAAGUCGAGCGGAGCGGCGGACGGGUGAGUAAUAACUAGGAAUCUGCCUGGUAGUGGGGGAUAACGUUCGGAAACGGACGCUAAUACCGCAUCCUUUCAGAUGAGCCUAGUUCGGAUUGGCUAGUUGGUGUGGUAAUGGCUCACCAAGGCUACGGUCCGUAACUGGUCUGAGAGGAGUAGCAGUCACAAGGGAACUGAGACACGGUCCAGACUCCUACGGGAGGCAGCAGUGGGGAAGAUUGGACAAGGGGCGAAAGCCUGAUCCAGCCAUGCCGCGUGUGUGAAGAAGGUCUUCGGAUUGUAAAGCACUUUAAGUUGGGAGGCGUUACCGACAGAAUAAGCACCGGCUAACUCUGUGCCAGCAGCCGCGGUAAUAC